rnacentral:tRNA from 1 species
GGGGUCGUGGUCUAACCAGGUAGGACGACGGGCUCCAGAAAUAACGCUAAAUAAUUAACUGACUCCACGGAUGAAGAUAUUCUGGAGCGUACCUGGAGACACUCGUAAAAAGGAUUUCACAAUCCUUUUGAGGAGUGGUUAAGGGUUCAAAUCCCUUCGACCCCA